rnacentral:rRNA from 1 species
GGUGGGGUGACUGCGUACCUUUUGUAUAAUGGGUCAGCGACUUAUAUUCUGUAGCAAGGUUAACCGWAUAGGGGAGCCGGAGGGAAACCGAGUCUUAAYYGGGCGUUAAGUUGCAGGGUAUAGACCCGAAACCCGGUGAUCUAGCCAUGGGCAGGUUGAAGGUUGGGUAACACUAACUGGAGGACCGAACCGACUAAUGUUGAAAAAUUAGCGGAUGACCUGUGGCUGGGGGUGAAAGGCCAAUCAAACCGGGAGAUAGCUGGUUCUCCCCGAAAGCUAUUUAGGUAGCGCCUCGUGAAUUCAUCUCCGGGGGUAGAGCACUGUUUCGGCUAGGGGGCCAUCCCGGCUUACCAACCCGAUGCAAACUGCGAAUACCGGAGAAUGUUAUCACGGGAGACACACGGCGGGUGCUAACGUCCGUCGUGAAGAGGGAAACAACCCAGACCGCCAGCUAAGGUCCCAAAGUCAUGGUUAAGUGGGAAACGAUGUGGGAAGGCCCAGACAGCCAGGAUGUUGGCUUAGAAGCAGCCAUCAUUUAAAGAAAGCGUAAUAGCUCACUGGUCGAGUCGGCCUGCGCGGAAGAUGUAACGGGGCUAAACCAUGCACCGAAGCUGCGGCAGCGAACGUAUCACCCAAGACAACUUUACGGAGUUGACGAUUGACGGAGCGAAGCGACGUCAAAGCGUUCAUUAAAGUCGAGUUGGCUUAGGGAUACGUUCGUUGGGUAGGGGAGCGUUCUGUAAGCCUGUGAAGGUGUGUCGUGAGGCAUGCUGGAGGUAUCAGAAGUGCGAAUGCUGACAUAAGUAACGAUAAAGCGGGUGAAAAGCCCGCUCGCCGGAAGACCAAGGGUUCCUGUCCAACGUUAAUCGGGGCAGGGUGAGUCGACCCCUAAGGCGAGGCCGAAAGGCGUAGUCGAUGGGAAACGGGUUAAUAUUCCCGUACUUGGUGUUACUGCGAAGGGGGGACGGAGAAGGCUAUGUUGGCCGGGCGACGGUUGUCCCGGUUUAAGSGUGUAGGUGUGUGUUCCAGGUAAAUCCGGUUCACUUUAACACUGAGGCGUGACGACGAGGCACUACGGUGCUGAAGCAACAAAUGCCCUGCUUCCAGGAAAAGCCUCUAAGCAUCAGGUAACAYSAAAUCGUACCCCAAACCGACACAGGUGGUCAGGUAGAGAAUACCAAGGCGCUUGAGAGAACUCGGGUGAAGGAACUAGGCAAAAUGGUGCCGUAACUUCGGGAGAAGGCACGCUGACACGUAGGUGAAGUGAUUUACUCAUGGAGCUGAAGUCAGUCGAAGAUACCAGCUGGCUGCAACUGUUUAUUAAAAACACAGCACUGUGCAAACACGAAAGUGGACGUAUACGGUGUGACGCCUGCCCGGUGCCGGAAGGUUAAUUGAUGGGGUCAGCGYAAGCGAAGCUCCUGAUCGAAGCCCCGGUAAACGGCGGCCGUAACUAUAACGGUCCUAAGGUAGCGAAAUUCCUUGUCGGGUAAGUUCCGACCUGCACGAAUGGCGUAAUGAUGGCCAGGCUGUCUCCACCCGAGACUCAGUGAAAUUGAACUCGCUGUGAAGAUGCAGUGUACCCGCGGCAAGACGGAAAGACCCCGUGAACCUUUACUAUAGCUUGACACUGAACAUUGAGCCUUGAUGUGUAGGAUAGGUGGGAGGCUUUGAAGUGUGGACGCCAGUCUGCAUGGAGCCGACCUUGAAAUACCACCCUUUAAUGUUUGAUGUUCUAACGUGGACCCGUAAUCCGGGUUGCGGACAGUGUCUGGUGGGUAGUUUGACUGGGGCGGUCUCCUCCUAAAGAGUAACGGAGGAGCACGAAGGUUGGCUAAUCCUGGUCGGACAUCAGGAGGUUAGUGCAAUGGCAUAAGCCAGCUUGACUGCGAGCGUGACGGCGCGAGCAGGUGCGAAAGCAGGUCAUAGUGAUCCGGUGGUUCUGAAUGGAAGGGCCAUCGCUCAACGGAUAAAAGGUACUCCGGGGAUAACAGGCUGAUACCGCCCAAGAGUUCAUAUCGACGGCGGUGUUUGGCACCUCGAUGUCGGCUCAUCACAUCCUGGGGCUGAAGUAGGUCCCAAGGGUAUGGCUGUUCGCCAUUUAAAGUGGUACGCGAGCUGGGUUUAGAACGUCGUGAGACAGUUCGGUCCCUAUCUGCCGUGGGMGCUGGAGAACUGAGGGGGGCUGCUCCUAGUACGAGAGGACCGGAGUGGACGCAUCACUGGUGUUCGGGUUGUCAUGCCAAUGGCACUGCCCGGUAGCUAAAUGCGGAAGAGAUAAGUGCUGAAAGCAUCUAAGCACGAAACUUGCCCCGAGAUGAGUUCUCCCUGAGACUUWRRGUCUCCUGAAGGAACGUUGAAGACGACGACGUUGAUAGGCCGGGUGUGUAAGCGCAGCGAUGCGUUGAGCUAACCGGUACUAAUGAACCGUGAGGCUUAACCUU